AUGGCCGAUAGGGCGAAGGUCGUGGCCGUCGUGGUCGCCGCCGGCGUGGGCGCGGCGGUGCUCGCGGCGGCGUGCGUGUUCCUGGCCAUCUGGAUGUACCGGCGGCGGGCCAGCGUGGUGGCGCGGACGCGGACGCGGUCGCUCGAGUCCUCCACGGCCACGCUGCGGGCCAACGGCUCCACCGCCAGCCUCGACUCCAGCGUCUCCGUCUCCGUCGUCUCCGAGAGCGUCGCCGACUGGGGCCACAGCCCGCUGCCGCCGGGGAAGCGCGUCGCCUUCUGGGGCUGGCGGGGCGCCACCAACGCCAGGGACCAGCCCCUCUCCGUCUCCGGGAUCCCCAAGUACCACUACAAGGAUCUGCAGAAGGCUACCAACAACUUCACCACGAUUCUGGGGCAAGGGUCGUUUGGUCCUGUGUACAAGGCUGUAAUGGCUACCGGUGAAGUCGUGGCUGUAAAGGUUCUCGCGAGCGAUUCUACGCAAGGGGAAAGAGAGUUCCAGACAGAGGUAAUUUUGCUUAGUCGGCUGCAUCAUAGAAAUCUUGUUAAUUUGGUUGGAUAUUGCGUGGAAAAAGGCCAACACAUUCUGAUGUAUGAGUACAUGAGCAACGGGAAUCUGGCAACUCUUCUGUAUGGUGAUAAUAAACGGAGUUUGAGCUGGCAAGAGAGGCUACAAAUAGCUCACGACGUCUCUCAUGGGAUUGAGUACCUGCAUGAAGGGGCUGUCCCGCCUGUUAUUCACCGAGACCUAAAGUCUGCUAAUAUACUCUUGGACGAAUCAAUGAGGGCCAAGGUUGCAGACUUUGGUCUAUCAAAGGAGGAAGUAUUUGAUGGAAGUAAGUCAGGUCUCAAGGGCACCUAUGGAUAUAUGGACCCUGAUUACAUGUCCACCAACAAGUUCACAAAGAAGAGCGAUGUUUACAGUUUUGGCAUAAUACUUUUUGAACUCAUAACAGCCAUAAAUCCACAACAAGGCUUAAUGGAGUACAUUGACCUAGCAGCGAUUGGAGGGGAAGGAAAGGUGGACUGGGAUGAGAUACUCGACAAGAACCUCCUUGGCGGGAGCAUUCCGGAAGAGGCAAGGGUCCUUGCCGAUGUCGCCUACCGGUGCAUCAACAGGAGCCCAAGGAAGCGGCCAUGGAUAUCAGAGGUCACCCAGGCCAUUUCAAGGCUAAGGCAGCGGCAGAUGACUUUGCCGAGGAGCGAGACCAGGACCGUGCUAAGGAGGAUAGAGUACCAGCACGUGGAGCUCAGCGAUCUCGCCGGCAUGAAAGAACUCACGCCGGUGUCUAACUUGGGUUGGAAUAGAUGUAAAUAA
rnacentral:rRNA from 1 species